rnacentral:rRNA from 1 species
GAGCGAACGCUGGCGGCAGGCCUAACACAUGCAAGUCGAACGAACCUUUCGGGGUUAGUGGCGGACGGGUGAGUAACACGUGGGAACGUGCCUUUAGGUUCGGAAUAACUCAGGGAAACUUGUGCUAUACCGAAUGUGCCCUUCGGGGGAAAGAUUUAUCGCCUUUAGAGCGGCCCGCGUCUGAUUAGCUAGUUGGUUGAGGUAAUGGCUCACCAAGGCGACGAUCAGUAGCUGGUCUGAGAGGAUGAUCAGCCACAUUGGGACUGAGACACGGCCCAAACUCCUACGGGAGGCAGCAGUGGGGAAUCUUGCGCAAUGGGCGAAAGCCUGACGCAGCCAUGCCGCGUGAAUGAUGAAGGUCUUAGGAUUGUAAAAUUCUUUCACCGGGGACGAUAAUGACGGUACCCGGAGAAGAAGCCCCGGCUAACUUCGUG